UUCAUUGCUGUUUGGCUAAUUCAUUGCUUUAUUUCUGUGAUGUAACACACUGUUUAACGUAAAAUUACUCAAGUAAACCCCUCCUUUGAUUAUUAUUUUAUUUUUAUGACGCAAAUAUUGGUUUGCUAUUGCAUAAACAAGUGCGCCAGAUGGCGUAGUUAGAGCCAUAAUACUGCUAUCUAGCGGACAUAAUUAGUUAUUGCAAGUUACAAUACUCAGCAGAAGGAAAAUUACAACUAUACGCUUACAAUGGGCAGAAACUAAAAACGUGUAAGUGUAAGUAAGAGACAGAGAACAAGAAAAAGUGACACAGCCGACGGGAAAGUGUGGAAAAGACCGCAUUACAAUGAAACAUCUGUUGUCCUCUCUUGACAAAGUAACACAUAGUAACUUUUAAACCAAGACACUGAAAACGCAUUAUACGAUUAUCGCAAAAUGCACCUUAAAAUUAGCAGUAUUUUUCUGAUACUACGCACACUGAUGAAUAGCCCAUUACUUAAUUUCUUUCUUUCCUCACAUUUCAAUUUCUUCGACUUGUACACUGUUUUUUUUUUUUUUUUAAUUUUGUGGCUAUUUAUUACAGAGCAGCUGCAAGACCUCCUUCUGUCUCCCGCUCUCCUCUCUGCGAUGUGUAAUAACAUUGCUAUUGAAGCCUUCCUUUCACGGGGGGAGAACUGGCCCUUAUCAAUAUGGCGUCUUCCCAGUCCACGACCUCAUUGGUCUCUCCUGCACUUGUACUUCCUGUUUCCUGUUAGCCGGCGGGGGACUGCAUUGGCAUGUCAGCCAAGGAGCGUGGGGGCAAGUGUCGGAAGCAGGAGGCUAUGAAGUAGGGUUGCCACCCUUCCCUUAUGACACGGGACGAUCAUGCUGCACCCCAUAUUAUAUGGGACGAGGGUGACAAACCUUCUGGGGAGGUGGGACAUGACCCAGGAGGAGCAGGAGCAUAAGCAGGACAGACUGGCAUUACAUCCAGGGUGUCCCCUGCCCCCCCUCCCUUGUGCCCUGGAUUUCCAAUGAUCAACUUUAGCCCCCUGAUGACUCUGUACUGGAUAAAAAGUUGCAAGAUGAUGGUUUUCUAUGAAAUAUACAGUGUGACAGAUUUGCAUGUCAGAAACUUUGUAUGUUAGAGAUUUUCUCAGUUGUUUCUCAGGUAUCAGUACACAAUAAAACUGAUACCAUAAAAACAAUUAUAAAAGCAACAAGUGAAGUGAUAAAAUGAGACAUUUCAAAACAGUAAGCAAUGGCAUUGUUUACACACAAACUGCAAUAUCUCAUAACAUCUUACAAUUUUUUAAUAAAAUGUAUUACAUUAGUUAGGGACACUGUGUUCAAGCUAGAAGCUGCCAGUAAAACAGUAAGGCCUCCUUACACACCUGAGAAGCUCAGGUGUAACACUAGUGAACUUAAUGAUUCAAUCAGUGGGUAAAUUGUUAAACACAAAUAUAAAGCCCUACAGGUGAACCCCUCUUAUUGGCAAAAAUGACAGAGAACAUUGAUGCAAAUGGCAAAGGAAGAGUGGCAUGCAGAUUGAGAGGAGGAGGCAGAAUUUAUCCAACCACAUUCAGAUACAGUGUUUCCUGAUCCGGUCCUAGGGGACCCACAGUCGCGGCACGUUUUUGCUCCAAGAUCCCUGCCAGACAAUACAGGUGGACUGUUCAGGUUCCCCAAGGACCAGAUUGGGGACACUGCUUUAGCGGGUCAUGUCGUACACCACGGUAUGUCCCUGCGGGAAGCAGGACAGGGAGUCCAACUAAAGAACAGUUAUUUCACUGCACUAAUGUGGGGAAAUGCAAUUCCUCCUGCUUCGGUGAUUUGUGCUUGUGGAAAUAUGCAAUGUGAUACAAUUAAAAUAACUGUAACACUUUACUUAACAGGGCACAAAUAAUACAGUAUUAUACUAUUACUUAUGUAUUAAUUACCCACAAACACUUCCUUCUGCAGAAGGAAUGACUGAAGGAACAAGAAAUGGAUACACAAGUUAAAUGCUGAUCUCAUGUUUGUUCAUUAGUAAUAAAUCAUGAAGCAUCUUUCAUCCCAAGUAGAUAUUGUAUUUGUUACUAUAUUUGUUAAUUCUGUAAAUCUUUGUGAACUACUGAAGGAAUGAUUGAAGGAACUAGUAAUGAAUAUUACAGGUGAAAUACUGAUCUCAUGUUUGUUCAUCAUGAAUGAAUUAAUGACAUCUUUUAUCUGAAGUAGCAACUAUAUUUGUUCAUGAUUUGGUCAUAGUUUGUUCUUCAGUAGUAACUGAGUUAUUCCUAAGUAUUUGUGCCCCAUCAAGUGUUACCAAAAAUAACAAAAUUGUAUAAAAAGAUGAUAAUAUAUAAGGUUGCCUCUCUCAUUAAAACAUAAAAAAAUAUGCAAGUGAAAUAUUUCCUACUGUAGAAACAAACUGUAACUACAUUGGUGUCCAACGGUUUUCACUGGUUUACUGGGUUUCUGGUUUGACACCUUGCAAUUUGCACGUCAAAUAACAGUUUGACAUUGGUGGAACAUUUCUUGACGUCUUUUACCUUGUUUAUCCACAGUAUCUCCUCUUUUAAAAGAUGUGGUGGCUGCUGAUCUGUCCCUUUCUUCACGGCCGCUUCAGUGCUCAUCACUCCCAUGAUUUACCGAAACAAUAGCAUGCAGUGCUCCGCUAAUCAAACUUAAUAAAGAUAAUGUGAUGAUGCAGCGAUGAUUGUGCCAUAUAACUGCGAUUACCUCAUACGUUGCAAUGUGAUGUUGUACAGCGAUGCCCUGAGGGUGAUCCGGCUUGCAGGAUCGUCAUUCCUGUGCAAAAUACACAUUUCUUGGUAAACUCCAGCCUGGCUCUUCCCUGUGCCUCAUUAAUGAAGGGCUUCUUCCUUGCUUUAUGGGUCUUCAGUCCUGCUGGUUUUUGGUCAUUGCCAGUGUCUGCUUCACCUUUUUCCGCCAUUUGUUGUUUGUCUGAUGUGAUGGGUGGGAUGAUCUCUGGCCUGCCAAGGGCAUAUUGCUGCUGAUUGUUUACAUGCAGGUAAUUACAGCAGUAAUUGCUCACGUCAGUCACUGGGAUGCUGGUGCCCAUCGCCCAGAGCUGUCUGUAUCUCCACUGCAGUGCCAGGUGAAUGUUUAUAGCCCUGGUGAGUUCACUGCCCCUGCCUACUGCUAUCUGGGGUAAAAUUUAAGGGUAAAAAUAAAAUACUGUCUACUGAGACCUGACCAUUGCCUCCCUUUUGUUGUUGUCUCUUCACCGUAAUAAAUGUGGUUUAAGGAGCGUUUAUGUUUUUCUUCAGGAAUUUAAGCAAAAAUGUUGGUGCCAUAUGCAUGUGUGUGGUAGGGAUGUGUAGAGCGAUACUGAGAUAUCGAUUCC